rnacentral:misc_RNA from 1 species
AACGCACCUUGCGCUCCUUGGCUCUCCGAGGAGCAUGCCUGUUUGAGUGUCAUGAAAAUCCUCAACUGCUUUGGCCUUUGUUGUUAGGUUGAAGUGAGGUUGGAUUUUUUGGAGAGCUUGCUGGCUUUGCUCUGGCUCCUCUAGAAUGCAUGAAAGCCCUACCCCAUGGCAAAGUAACAUUGAUGUGAUAAUAACCUGCAUCACUGUUGAAAUGCCCAAGUGGUAAAAAGGGUUGGGCUCCCUUUGGGUGUGGUGUGUUCCCCUGCUUUGUUUUUUGAAGCAUGGGUUUUUUCACCCACUGUGAUCAAUUUGACCUCAAAUCAGGUAGGACUACCCGCUGAACUUAA